UAGUUUUACGAAACCGCCGUCCAAUUUCAUUCUAUAAAACCGAGCUAAACACUUAUCAGUUGCUAUGUGCCCGAGUCUGCCAACCCCUCUCUCUCUCUCAUAUUAUUUCUCACUAGGUUAUGGGUUAAAUAGAUCGGGAAUGGUUUUGUUUUCCUAGGGUUUGUCUGAAGGUCAAGGUGAAGAGGAAGAUGAUGCUAAAGACUGGAGAAUGAUCCGACAUUAUUAUCGAAUCGCUGAUAUACCAGAGAGUUUUCUCGGCAGUCGGGAGCCUGCCAGACGAACUCACGUCACAAGUCUCGCAGAAAGACUGGAAAGAGAGGCCAGGCUGCUCAAGGUUCGAAGGAGUUGGAGGACAAUAAGGAGGAAGACGAAAGAAGCAGUCAAAACUACGAGUUGGGUUACUCUUGACCCUAAUGUUGGGCAGCUGGGGGAGCAAAGAGCAUUAGGCUGAGUGAGUGCAGCUCAAAUUGGCCCACAUUUUGGUGAUUCUUCUUUACAAGGCCAGAGGAGAGCUAUUACUCAAAGAUAGGAUGGCCUUUAUUCACCUUAUCAAUACCAACACUUAUGCACGUGCAGAGACAGGUGAUGAACCAAGGUCAAAAUCACCAUAACUUUCAACAAUGCACGAUGAACAAUUGCCAGAGUUAAGACGAUUUUCAAAGUAAAGAUCAUACGAUAAUCCCGUUGAAUCUUUGAAGGUUCAAUUCCGUUUGUAUCUGCUAUCGUACAUGUGAGGCUGUCAUUUCCUGUUUGUUAUCGAAUCGAUGAUUUACCAGGCUUAUGUAUUUUUUGGCUUACAAGUUUUACGGUUUUCUGUGGCUUCUUGCACACUAUGAAGUUUACAUGUAUAAUGUAAUUGAUAGAGCCAGAUCAAUGAACAAAGAGAUUACUUCAUCUCCAACCUAGUCUAUUCAA